rnacentral:rRNA from 1 species
ACGAACGCUGGCGGCGUGCUUAACACAUGCAAGUCGAACGGGCUGCCUGGUUUUCGGAUCGGGUGGUGAGUGGCGAACGGGUGAGUAACACGUGAGUAACCUGCCCCUCUCUUUGGGAUAACGUCGGGAAAUCGGCGCUAAUACCGGGUAUUCUGGCUUCCUCGCAUGGGGUUGUUGGGAAAGGUUUUUUCUGGUGGGGGAUGGGCUCGCGGCCUAUCAGCUUGUUGGUGGGGUGAUGGCCUACCAAGGCGGUGACGGGUAGCCGGCCUGAGAGGGUGUCCGGCCACACUGGGACUGAGACACGGCCCAGACUCCUACGGGAGGCAGCAGUGGGGAAUAUUGCACAAUGGGCGGAAGCCUGAUGCAGCGACGCCGCGUGGGGGAUGACGGCCUUCGGGUUGUAAGCCUCUUUCAGUGCAGAACAAGGCUCUUUGUGGGUUGAGGGCAUGCGCAGAAGAAGCGCCGGCUAACUACGUG